AGGUCCGUCGUCACCGUUUGGAAAGAAAUAAUCCAGACAGCAGAGCUGAACAAUUAGAAAGACUGUUAAUGUAUGAAAAGUGAAACAGCGAUAAUGGGGACAGGACAUACACAAUAAAUUUCUACUUCUUCCGACUUCUUUUCACAUUGUAAAUAAUCAGGGAUGUGUAACACAAAAAGAGCAACCAACGAGACGCGUCAGUUGCUCUUCACAAUUGGAGGAGAAAAGAAGGAUCAAGAGGGUGUGGGGGGGCUCUUCCUUAUUUGGAGAGUGAGUGACAGAGAGAAGGGGGCGGGCUCUUGUGACUCACUUCCGGAGUAGUAAGAAAAAAAAAAGUAGCCGGCAACUUUUGUCCAGCACACACUCACUCACUUGGAGCGACGUGUUUUUUUUCCCUCCCCCUUCAACAGCCGCAGCAGGCGGGCGACACCGGACCGGAGCGACCUCCGCACUGAAGCCCGCCCCGCAACGCUCGACUGGCGGCUACGUGAAACCCGGGCGGCCCGCUGUCAGCUCCCGCUUCAUACCUGGUAGGACAUGGCGACAUUUACCGCUUUCUUCAUCAAUCUUCUUACUUGGACGGCUUCACCACCUGUACCGCUGCGUUUGUACGAAUGUAUUGGUCAGACGUGCCUGUUAUUACCACGUAAACUUCAUUCAAAGUCAACUUUCCAGUGGGAAGAACUUGGAAAAGGAACGAGAUCGUGGUCAGAAAUGCGCAUGACUUGUCGCUCGCGUUGGUUUUCGCUGCAAAGUUCUUGAUCAUCAGAAAUCAUGAAUCAACAUAUUUUGUGAGCUAUUCUCUUUUCACGAAAAGAAGAAAACGGGAAAAGG